UAGCACAUUCAUACGUGGCUUCUGCCACAACAGGUCAAUAAAGAUUUAUUUACCAGGCCUGCAGCACAAAAUGUUGGCUGGACUCUGCUGGGAAUCUGCAGAAAAAUGCAGUAAACAGCAAUAGACACUUUGGUGCUUCUCCUUUUGCUGAAAGCAAAGCCUCCAACGGUGGCUAUAAAUCUUUUGCUGCCACUUGCAGAGGGUAUUUACUAAUUACAGCAUCAGCAUGUCUUGUGCCAGUUGUAGGUCAUUGGGAUAGCCUAGAAAAGGAACAGAAAUAGUUUUGCAAUGAAGGCAGGCUCAAAGAACGAAUGUCUCAGCACUGACAUUGCUCUGGCAGCAGCACUAGGAAACUAAGGAUCACAAUGCAGAGAACAAGGAUGUUAAUUCUGCCUAAAUAACAGACCGCGUUUCCUCUACCCGGCUGUUCUGAGGAGCUAAUUACACACAUUCCCGAAUCAAAGAAAUAUAAAACAGUCUGCAAAUGAUUGCAAUGUUGAUGUGUUGGCAGUCCAAACCAUGACAUAUGGUCCUUCAGUUUGCCAUCCUAGAGAACAGGCUCACGAGCAACCCUCAAAACGCAAAAUUGUGUCGUAAAUGAAAGAAAGAGGCUGACUCUAGAAAUGAGCUUGAGGUGACCUCCCUCCUCAGCCCCACAAGAGACAGUCAGCGUUUCACAGAGCUGCUGCCAACCUGGUCACAGGUCCCCAAAUGUACCUCCUGUGAGGGGGAAGGAAGGUGAAUCAUAUCCAGGCAGGAUCGUGGCUCGGUCAAUACCCACACACAAACUUUGCAAAGCAAAGAUUUCGUCACCAACACCGGCUGGACACGUGUGUGCCACCAGCCCCUCUCUGGGACCGCUCUGCAGCUGUGUGCCAGCCCCUGAGCCACGCAGCAGCAGGAUCCAGACCUCCAGCUUCAUCCCUGGACCCCCAUCACGGAGCUGGUGGAGUGAGGGAUGCCUGCAGACACCAGGAGGGGAGCGGGGUGAGGCAUGAGCACGCCGAGGGCUUUCACACGCCUUCACCCACAGCAGUCGGCGCGCGUUCGUCACGCCGGGCCCAGCCAAGGAGUUCCAACGUUAAGUGGCCUCUGAAAUGAUGCAAACAAGAUCUGGUUGCUCACUGCCUGUGAAUGACCCUGCUGCUGUGCAGCUCCAUCAGCUCUGUGCAGAGCUCAUUUCUGCUGAGCAAUCACAGCUCAGUGCCUGGAAACCCAGAGAUCAUCAAUUUCCAGAACUGCAAAGGUGAGCUUCCUCCAGGAGAUCCACAACUCCUGCAACUGUCAAAUUAGUGGAGUUGUGCUGGGGUAAAAGUGAUGCAAAUGAGGAGAACACUUACUUGGCAAUUUAUGUGCUGUAUCAGGAAAAUGUUAUCACCUCUAACAUAGCAGGGAGAUUCUGUAUUUACUGACACCUUUGCACACAACAGUGAUUUUGAUGAAAUCCUUGGGUAAUGAUUACAUCAGGAAAGUUGCACCACUGAAAAAAAUUACAGCGUUUUCCACCUGUGCUACACAUUAGAUACCAGUGCUGAUGCCUUCCAUGGGGUUAUCCCUGUGUAGAAGAGAAGCAGGAGAGCUCAGAUUUCUGUGUUUCAUCAGGUGAAGCUGGGAGCCACAGCCAGAAGAGCUGGUGAGAGAGAAAGGGAAAAAGCUGCUUAUACCUGAUGUGCUCACAGAAAGAACAGGGUUUGACCAACAGAAGCAACAGGAAAAUGACUUCUCCAUCUCCAGACGUGCAUCAUGUCUAUAACUCACUGACAAUGGUGGAUUUUAACAGGAAGGAGAAGAAUAAAAGCAAGAAUAAACACUUGAACAAGAUAAUCUGAGUUUGUAUACAGCAACCUUUGCAAUACAACUGCUUUUUCCUUAAAGAAAGAUUUUUCUUUAAAUCUUUAGACCAAGGUGCCCCCAUGAGAGCUAGUGCCCCUUUUGACCAAAACUGAAGUGUUGCUGUGAUAAGGAUUAGCCUUAUCAGCCUGGAGACUGUGGAAGAAAGUGCACCAGGCUCAGGGUAGGGGAGGGUGCUGGAAGAGUUUGCAAACAUCUGGGACAUCUGGGCUGCUGAGUCACAUGUGCAGAGAGAGCCUGUGCUGCAGGCAAUGGCCAGAUGGCAAAAGAACACAAGAAAAGCUGUGCCCCAUGUGCCUCUCAUACAGGACAUGGCAUUUGAGAGUGCAGUACAGGAAAUCUGUGUGGAAAGGGGUGGCUGAGUGACUUAACCCUGAUUGAUGGGGAAGGGGUGUCCAAACAGCAGAGGAGUGUGGCUCCCAUGCAGGAUGAAGCACCAGCAGUGAAUCCCACCCACG
ensembl:lncRNA